UGACCGCUGGCGGCGUGCCUAAUACAUGCAAGUCGAGCGAACAGACGCGGAGCUUGCUCCUCUGACGUUAGCGGCGGACGGGUGAGUAACACGUGGAUAACCUACCUAUAAGACUGGGAUAACUUCGGGAAACCGGAGCUAAUACCGGAUAAUAUAUUGAACCGCAUGGUUCAAUAGUGAAAGACGGUUUUGCUGUCACUUAUAGAUGGAUCCGCGCCGCAUUAGCUAGUUGGUAAGGUAACGGCUUACCAAGGCAACGAUGCGUAGCCGACCUGAGAGGGUGAUCGGCCACACUGGAACUGAGACACGGUCCAGACUCCUACGGGAGGCAGCAGUAGGGAAUCUUCCGCAAUGGGCGAAAGCCUGACGGAGCAACGCCGCGUGAGUGAUGAAGGUCUUCGGAUCGUAAAACUCUGUUAUUAGGGAAGAACAAAUGUGUAAGUAACUAUGCACGUCUUGACGGUACCUAAUCAGAAAGCCACGGCUAACUACGU
rnacentral:rRNA from 1 species